GUGGGGAAUCUUGCGCAAUGGGCGAAAGCCUGACGCAGCCAUGCCGCGUGAAUGAUGAAGGUCUUAGGAUUGUAAAAUUCUUUCACCGGGGACGAUAAUGACGGUACCCGGAGAAGAAGCUCCGGCUAACUUCGUGCCAGCAGCCGCGGUAAUACGAAGGGGGCUAGCGUUGCUCGGAAUUACUGGGCGUAAAGGGCGCGUAGGCGGACAGCUUAGUCAGAGGUGAAAGCCCAGGGCUCAACCUUGGAAUUGCCUUUGAUACUGGCUGUCUUGAGUUUGGGAGAGGUGAGUGGAACUCCGAGUGUAGAGGUGAAAUUCGUAGAUAUUCGGAAGAACACCAGUGGCGAAGGCGACUCACUGGCCCAAUACUGACGCUGAGGCGCGAAAGCGUGGGGAGCAAAUAGGAUUAGAAACCCCUGUAGUCC
rnacentral:rRNA from 1 species